rnacentral:rRNA from 1 species
UUGGCGGACGGGUGAGUAACGCGUGGGAACCUGCCCUGUACAGGGGGAUAACACUUAGAAAUAGGUGCUAAUACCGCAUAAGCGCACAGUAUCGCAUGAUACAGUGUGAAAAACUCCGGUGGUACAGGAUAGACCCGCGUCUGAUUAGCUGGUUGGCGGGGUAACGGCCCACCAAGGCGACGAUCAGUAGCCGGCCUGAGAGGGUGAACGGCCACAUUGGGACUGAGACACGGCCCAAACUCCUACGGGAGGCAGCAG